GGUUAGCAAUAAUUGAAUGAGAGUGGCGCACGGGUGCGUAACACGUAUGCAACCUACCUAUAACUGGGGGAUAGCCUCCCGAAAGGGAGAUUAACACCGCAUAACAUUAUGAAGUGGCAUCACUUUAUAAUUAAAUCUACGGAGGUUAUAGAUGGGCAUGCGUCCGAUUAGCUAGUUGGUGAGGUAACGGCUCACCAAGGCUCCGAUCGGUAGGGGGUCUGAGAGGAUGAUCCCCCACACUGGUACUGAGACACGGACCAGACUCCUACGGGAGGCAGCAGUAAGGAAUAUUGGACAAUGGGCGCAAGCCUGAUCCAGCCAUGCCGCGUGAAGGAUGAAGGCCCUAUGGG
rnacentral:rRNA from 1 species